AGUUGCCCCGGCAGUCCUGCGGCUGGCGCUGCCGCCAACCCCGCCGGCGGUCGCUGCGCGCCGCCCAGAGGGGGAGCUCCUGAACGCCCGAGUAGCGGGCAAGCAGGGCACGGAGGGCAAGACGCCGGCCGGGGGCUGCCCCGUCGAGGGGGAACCGCGCCGUUUGCGGCUGCCGCCCUUCCCGGAGGGGGAGCCCAAUAGAGUCAGAUGGCGGAGGGGGCCCCAAGGAGUCUUGAAGGCACGUUAGAGUGAAUGGGAGUGACUGACCCUCUGAAAUUCUUCGGAGCUUUCCAAGGACUCACACCUCCCGCAAGAGCCGCGCUACGGCAAGUCCGUGGUGCGCGGGGAACAGGGUAGGGGCAGGGGCAAUCGGCAGCUGCAGAGAGGCCGCGCAGGGUCCCGGCGGGUGCCUGCGGCCAGCCCUGGGAGGCCUUUCCUGAACCUCCGCUGGAAACGGGCUUUUCAUCCCAAGGCGCUCCUGUAUAAUGGCAAAGUGGACUGUCACCAAACGAAUGGGAAAUGGCAUCUGGAAGCCCAGCAUGUAUAUAUCAGUUUCAGGAACCAAAAAAGGGAACUCAGUUUGGAGUGUCUUUCUCUGUCUUCAGCUAGCAUCACAUUGAAACCACCCACACUCAGCAUGAAAUGAGGUUUAUUGAGAAGAGAAAGGUAGGACUACGGAGCAAGAGCAAGAUACAGGUUUAUGGAGUAAAAGCAAGAUACUUUUGCCACAGAACAGCGAAAAGACCCCUCUGUCAUAACAAAAGGGCCAUUUAUUCCUUUUAAAUCUUCAAGUAAGUCUCUAAGAUUCUAUUAAUUCCCUCAAAAGGAUGUUCUGCUUGAAGCAACAUAGAAAAUAAUGGAAAGGAGAUAGUUAAUAAGAGGAAAAGGAGUGAUUUUUCUACCUAAUUAGAGAACAGAACCUUAAAGUAACUUGUAUUCUUUGAUCUAACGCAGUUAGGGCUAUGUGUUGUUUUUGAAUGAAUACUCUAAAUUUCAGUAAGUAAAUACCAUUAUUAUCAGCAUUUGGCUUUGAAUACACUAAUGGCACUCCCAUAGGCUUACUUGAAUUUCAAUUAUGUAUUUUAAUUUGGGCUAUAAAAUAGACUACAGUAUAUAAUUUUUAGAAAAUCAAUAAGUUGGUUUAAUUGGGGCCUGGUUAUUUAACACACACACACACACACACACACAUCAACAAAUGAUGUAAAGAGAAAAUAGACAUGCAAAGAAAGAAGUUGAUUUUUUGAUUAUCAUGGUCCAAAAGUAUCCAAAAUGUCAGGUGUUAAUUGUAACUGACAGUUAUAUGAAUGUCAGGUAUUAAAAUUGAGGGGCCAACGCUGGCAAAAUAAUCAGUAAGUAUUUUUGAGACUUAGUGGGUGCUAAGCCCUGUGCCUGAGGUUGCAGGGAGUGAAAGAUGACUUAGAGCCCCUGUCUCUAGGAACCAAUAGUCCAAGAAAGAGGUAAGGCAAGUGCACCAAUAGUAGAAUGCAUGGAGGACACGGUGGGUGUGAUUGGACAUGUUCAAAAUGUUGCUGUGGGUCCCAAGGAGAGAGGAAAGAGCCACAGGUGUGGUAGCUGAGAUCAAAUAAGGCAAAGCACAUAAAGGCUAUCCAUUUUUCAGACUCAGGUGGCUCUGUGUUCUUCAUAGCUCAGAACAUCUCUCUACACUAUACCUAAUACAGAUGGAUGGCUGUGAGAGAUGAUCAAUAGCAUUGAUCAAUUGAUUGAUUUGAUUGAUGCGUAAUAAAAGACAAAGGAGACAUAUUUCCAAACACAUGCUUUAGAAGCCAGUUGGUUAGUGGAUUCUGGGGACUUACCUGAAGACUGAUAAAAAGUUUGGCUACUGUAUUUAUAGACCCAUAAACAUAAGUCCUAUAUGUAUUUAUCAUCUUUAGUUUUCUGGGCAAAAACUACCGAACCCAAUCAAGAGAGGAGAAAGCAUGCAUUUGUAUGGACUACUCCAAAAUGAAGGAGGCUGCAUUUAGCAGCAGCCAGACUUUCUUUUUCCAUCAGAAUGUUCUGAGAACACUUCACAGACACUUCACCAAGAAGUAGUUAUAUGGCUCUGUAAGGGGAAGAAGUGGGCCCUGAACUCUGCUGGCUUGGUUUUACCUAAUAGAUGGAUGGGAAGUAAAAGUUCAGCCUUGAAAACUUCACAGGGCUGGCAGUGGAGAGGACCUCCGUGAUGUGGCAGGCCCCUAAAAAUGGGGUAUCCCGCUACCCCGAGCCCUGGUCACUGGGCCCCCCAUAUGGCCAGCUGCCAUGUGCAUACACGGGGCAGACCGCUCCCCUAAGGAUCCCAGCCCCUGUUAGAAGUGAGCGGUGGAGGAAUAAUCGACCUGCUCAUUUCAGUUUGCUGCCGCAGCCUACACCUCCACAAGGCUCCUGGAUGCAACAGGAACCAAGAACACACUCGAGCUGCAGCUGCUGAGUUUGGGGAGCUGGGAAGAAGCCCAUUUCAUGGCAGGGCAGCACGUUGCAUGAGGCUGAGGGACCCAAGAAAUCAGGAACUGGGGAGACAUGAGGACUUAGCACCCUACCCUACCCACUCCUUUCCUGCAGACUCUGACUCAAUUAAAAGCCCAGGGGAGGUAUAGCAACAAAAGUCUGAUGACAGGGAGUUGUUAGGAAAGAAAGAACACCUGUGUCCCGCCCUGACUCUCAAACUUUCCAUUUAGAGUAAAUUUUAAGAAUGGAAAUUGAUUAUUUAAAUUUCAAUGAAUAAUAAUAAAAAAAAAGAUUGGA